rnacentral:lncRNA from 1 species
GGGAAGAUCCAGAAAAAUAUAGAAAGGCGGCUAUUUCACUACUCUAUUGGUCCCAUCUAAGUUCUAACAAAAAUCAAAAAUAUCCAAAGAAAUUUUCUUGUUCCAUUGGUCUAUUUGGGGAUUUUGAGCUUUGAAAUAUUUUGAAUUCAUCCAAGCAUACAAUGGAUUGAACUUGGUUUUAACUUUAUGCGAAAUCUGCUGAGUUUUCUUUGAUUAAAGCUGGUUUCAAGUGACAUUUCUAGUCAUCUUCGGAGAAAAGUUGUUGUUGUUGUGUUGUUUACUGCCGAACUGCUUCAUUUAUUUCCUUUUGCUUUUCCAAGUAUGCAUCUAUGAAAAUUCAAGCAAUGUAAAUCUGCAAAUUGGAAAUCGAAGUGGAAUAAAAUGUGUUGAUGCUUAGUAUCAGAUUGCUGGUUCCAAUUAGUUGUAGUUUGUUCUUUUACCUUCUGUUCUAUGAUGCUCUAUUAUUCGUGUUUUUUUUUCUUUAAGGAUAGGAUCUGAAAUGUGUUAACCAUUUAUUAGGUAAGGAUCUCUCAUUUUACUGUAGCGUCCUUUGGAUCUGGUAUGUAGAAUGAGUAGGUACUUGCUUGACAUGGGAUUUGAUUCAUUGAUUUCAAGGGGAGUUUAAUUUAGCGUUGCCCUCUUAACACCAGAUUUUUUUGGAAUAUGUUCAAGGAACGGUGGUGUAAUUGUAUGUUUAAAAUCGAACUUGCAUGCCUGUGAGUUUUUUUGUAUAUGUGUAGUUUAGUCUCUUAAAUUGAACAGAUAUUCUGUCACUAUUUGAGCAGAUUUCGCUGAUCAACUCAAAGGCUUAUAUGGUAUUCAAUUGGGAGGCCCAAUUAGUUGGGCUGACAUCAGACACAAUUUGUUCAUCAUAAUUGGACUGCCAGGCUGGGCUUCAUUUGGAGCCCAGUCGUUACAUAGGAUAAGUCAAUUGUAAUGGGCCACCCAAAGGUGCUCUUGCCUGGCCCGUUUUAAAUUCAUAAUAU